rnacentral:rRNA from 1 species
AACGAACGCUGGCGGCAUGCCUAACACAUGCAAGUCGAACGAGACCUUCGGGUCUAGUGGCGCACGGGUGCGUGACGUGUGGGAACCUGCCCUUAGGUUCGGAAUAACUCCCCGAAAGGGGUGCUAAUACCGGAUAAUGUCUUCGGACCAAAGAUUUAUCGCCUUUGGAUGGGCCCGCGUUGGAUUAGCUAGUUGGUAGGGUAAAAGCCUACCAAGGCGACGAUCCAUAGCUGGUCUGAGAGGAUGAUCAGCCACACUGGGACUGAGACACGGCCCAGACUCCUACGGGAGGCAGCAGUGGGGAAUAUUGGACAAUGGGCGAAAGCCUGAUCCAGCAAUGCCGCGUGAGUGAUGAAGGCCUUAGGGUUGUAAAGCUCUUUUACCCGGGAUGAUAAUGACAGUACCGGGAGAAUAAGCGCCGGCUAACUCCGUG